UACAGAGGGUGCGAGCGUUGUCCGGAAUCACUGGGCGUAAAGGGCGCGUAGGUGGUGGCUUAAGCGUGCGGUGAAAGCUCGGGGCUCAACCCCGAGUCGGCCGUGCGAACUGGGCUCACUGGAGCAUAGUAGAGGCAGGUGGAAUUCCGGGUGUAGCGGUGGAAUGCGUAGAGAUCCGGAAGAACACCGGUGGCGAAGGCGGCCUGCUGGCUAUGGCUGACACUGAGGCGCGACAGCGUGGGGAGCAAACAGG
rnacentral:rRNA from 1 species